CUUUAUUUCGUUUGUCUCAUCUUCAUACUACUUGGCGCUUUUGCCUUAAAUGUGGAGGCGAAACCUAAACCUUGCUUUGGACAUCAUACAACACCUUCAGUAAAGGAUUUAAUUGAAGAUCUCUUGGAUCAAUUGAAGAAAAAAACUUAAAGCGAAUCUCCUAAGUCAGUCCUUUAGUUAAUUAAUAUGGGUAAUCCCAUAUACGAAUAAAAAAAUUGGAUUCGAAAUAUAAA